UGGGGAAUAUUGGACAAUGGGGGAAUCCCUGAUCCAGCAAUGCCGCGUGAGUGAAGAAGGCCUUAGGGUUGUAAAGCUCUUUCGCCCGCGAAGAUAAUGACGGUAGCGGGAGAAGAAGCCCCGGCUAACUCCGUGCCAGCAGCCGCGGUAAUACGGAGGGGGCUAGCGUUGUUCGGAAUUACUGGGCGUAAAGCGUACGUAGGCGGAUGCGCAAGUUGGGGGUGAAAUCCCGGGGCUUAACCUCGGAAUUGCCCUCAAAACUGCACGUCUUGAGACCGAGAGAGGUAAGGGGAAUUCCUAGUGUAGAGGUGAAAUUCGUAGAUAUUAGGAAGAACACCUGUGGCGAAGGCGCCUUACUGGCGCGGUACUGACGCUGAGGUACGAAAGCGUGGGGAGCAAACA
rnacentral:rRNA from 1 species